AACGAACGCUGGCGGCAUGCCUAACACAUGCAAGUCGAACGAGACCUUCGGGUCUAGUGGCGCACGGGUGCGUAACGCGUGGGAACCUGCCCUUAGGUUCGGAAUAACUCCCCGAAAGGGGUGCUAAUACCGGAUAAUGUCUUCGGACCAAAGAUUUAUCGCCUUUGGAUGGGCCCGCGUUGGAUUAGCUAGUUGGUAGGGUAAAAGCCUACCAAGGCGACGAUCCAUAGCUGGUCUGAGAGGAUGAUCAGCCACACUGGGACUGAGACACGGCCCAGACACGGAGGGGAGGAAGCGGGGGGAAAGAGGACAAGACGGGCAGAGGCCGGAACAGGCAGUGCGGGGUGAGGGAUGAAGGCCGUGGUGUUAUAAAGCGUCUUUACCGGGGAUGAGAAUGACAGUGCCGGAAGAAGAACCUCCUGCUAACUCAGGGACAGAAGCGGCGGUAACAAGCGGAAGAGCCGACGGCUCACC
rnacentral:rRNA from 1 species